UUAACCCUCUGCCUCCAACUGCACAGCAGCUCUGCAAAAACCUUGCAACAAGUUGCUUUUCAGCGGCCUUUUCCUACUUUUUUUUGGAUUUUUGAUUCCGCUUAUGUUUUUCUUUUGCUUUUUAUCCCACUUUAAAAAAAACAAAAAAAAAACAAAACCGUUCCGCGCCCUUUAUUUUUUCCCCCGUUAACAGGUUUCUUGUAGUGUUGAUUGGUUUCUCGGACAAUUGUAUAGGUGGUGUUCCUCCAGGAGAUGGGGCCCCCCCUUGAGUUCCACUUCGAGUGGAAGGGCGCCAUUUCUGAUUGAACCUGUUUGUGGUGUGGAUGACCGCCGUGGAUGGCAGUUUUAGACGGGGCGUCGCAGGGACACCGAAGCCCGGCCGGCUGGCUUCUGCUUCCUCUCCGUGUCUUGUCUUUCUCUUCCUCUCUGUGGCGCCCUCACCCCUGUUGUCUCUGUGUUUCACACCGUCUCCCUCUCCCGGUGGUGGUGUGCCGAGCCGGAGCUCGUUCUGGGACAGGUGCCAACUCUAAACAAAACACACUGGAAGGAAAUAAAAAAAGAAAAGGAAAAUGUUCUGAUUGCAAAGUUCUGCAAAGUGUUUCUAACCCCCCCGGCAUGUUUGCGCUGUUUCUGCUUGAUGCUAAAAAGUGAAGGAAAAAAAAAUGUUUUCAAGCUAAACUGUUGUUAGAAAGGAAGUUGGAAAACUUUAACACCUCAGGGAAGACAUUUUUAUUUAGGCGGAGAGUAACGUGGGAGAGUAGCAUAUAGACUGCUGAAUUAUUCAUGUGCUCAGCCAAGGCUGGACUGAACUGCUUGUACCAUUUGCAUGCAUCAGACAUGCUGUUUGUCUGUUUGCUAACAUUCCUCAUUCAGAGACUUGUUAACCAGCAGACGGGCUUAGUCGGAGCUUUGCAGACAGCCUCGCAUUGUUUCAGGCCUCGCCAGGCCUGGACCUCGCCAGACGCGGGGAAACCGCGCAGCUCUGAGCUCGGGGGGCUACAACUGCAGCUGAAAGGAGGAAAGGGGGUGAGAGCUGAAGCCGAGGCGGCACGAGGGGAAAUCACAGCAAACCAAAAAAAAAAAAGGUUGACUCUGGGUUUCUCUUCUCCUCAGCAGAGAUGUGGGUCAGAAGAACUCAUCGCAGCCGGACAUGAAACAUCCUGAUCUCAAAAAUCUGAGGGUUUUAAGCCACUGGUGCAAGCCAGAAACUGGAUGGACAGAACUGUAAUCGAAACAGCAUCAUGAAGCCUACCUGACAAGCAGAUGAUCCUUUGAUGAAGAGGAAGCACCCACACAGAUAGAACCCAACUUUUUGCUGCCUGUUGCAGAGCAGGUGAGGAGCUUUAGCAGAGGGAGUACCUGUAGGCGUCUGCUCCUCACAUGAAAGCUCCGAUGACCCAACCUCAUUGCUCACAUCCCAAAAGCACAAAAAAACAUUGAAAUCUGAGCGUUUUAUUGUUGUGAUUCAUAAUCUUCAGGUCAAGUUCCUUCUUCUGUAAUGAUAAUCAGAGAACAAAAAGGUAAAUAUUUUUGUUGUUGUUUUCCAUUUAACUGCAGAUUAAAAAUGACUUGUUGGUCACAUUUGAAUAUGAAAAUUCCCCGGUCAUGCAAAAUCUGCUUGGAGCAUGGGUGCCUGGAUGGAUCAUUUGAAUUCCUCUUGAGCUUGUGCCAUGAACGGAGACCCAGUUGUCACAUUGUGUUCUGAACAUACUGUCUCCUUUGGCGGGAGUGAGGCGUCCCAUAGGAGGGUGGCAUGUGCGUUUUGUGUUUUCUGUGAGCCUUAACUGCCGUUUUGCUUUGCUGGGGGCGGCUCAACGUGGAUGACGAGCACAAACGAGGACCUAAAAGGCUUGUGUUUUCAAAGACUGUCCUUUGGGGUGAGGUAGUAGGUUGUAUAGUUUUAGGGUCAUGCCCUUCCUGUCAGAUAACUAUACAACUUACUGUCUUUCCUGAAGUGGCUGUAAUGUCAUCAUUUGCCUUUUCUCCGGAGCUUCGGAUCAACACGGGGACGUGCUUGACUGGCCAGACACAGCUCAAAUGUUUGAUCCCUGAGGUUUGUAUGUGUUUCAGGUGAUUUUUAAAACCUGACUGUUUUGUUUUUCGCAACUCUUUCCUUCCUUGUCCACUUACAUUUCUCCUUCCUUCUAUGAUAACACAUGAUUGUCCAAUUAAAGACCUACUUUCAGAAAAAAAGAUGUGGCUUUCAAAAUGUCUGCUCCUUGGUUGACUGCCUAGAAAAAUCUCCACUUACAGUCUGAGAGCGUGGAUCGUACCAUCUUUGUGAUGUUCGUACGGGGUGAGGUAGUAGGUUGUGUGGUUUCAGGGUAGUGAUUUUGCCCAAUCAGGAGAUAACUAUACAACCUACUGCCUUCCCUGAAGGGCAGCAAUACUACACCAUACAGAUCCGUGGAUGGACCAGGCUCACGGCGUCACAAAACCCUCCAACCAACUACAUCCACUCCCCUGUGUGAUCCUGGCAAGAAAUGUUUCCCAGUAGGUAACUUUUUCUUUGUUUUCAAUUUGUGUUUUCUGCUCGAAAUAAAAAUGAAAUAAGAAAAUGAACGCUCGAUGUUCAGUGCUUUUAUUUCUUCGUGUGGGUUUGUACCGUCUCUUUCAAGUGAAGAAAUGUGAUACAUUCAGUGAAAGUCAGGCUUUAACCUCAGGUAAACAAACGGGAGACUCCACAAGUGCUAAUUUAUGGAAGUCUGCAUCCUCCAUAACAUUUCUGAAAAGGAAAAAAUGACCCAAGUACCUGAAUCCAGUCGCAGAAUCUGCCAAGAAGUGCAAAAAAAUAAAAACCCAAGAGGAGAGCAGAUGGAAAAAGGAGCUGUGGCACAGUCUCACCUUUUGGGCUUGAGCACAUGAUUCAUACGACGACAGAUGAUGGCUGCAGUAUUUCAUCUCCCUCUUGCCAGUGGCUUACAUAAAUAAACACUCAAGCAGACAGAUAACGAGGUGAGUGCCAGAUGGUGUUAGGCCAACUUGGGCAUCAGACCUGCCUCACUGUCUGAGACUGCGGCCCCGUAUCUCAUAUCAAGGUCAAGCUCGGAGUGAGAGUCCUCACGCACCUCUCCACUUCCACUCAGCAGUCACAUUGUGGACUCCGCGCCACGGGUAAACGCUUAUUAAUACGAUUUUCCAACAUACAUUUAUGCAUGAAAUGGCUUUGCUUCAGCGUGCGACCAUUAAAGGACGCUCUGUGCCAGUUACACUUUCACCUAAUGACUCAGAUUCAGCAGGAGGUGCGGCUCAGCAGAGCAUGGAGCUGUGACACUGUAAUGCGAGAUGAAGUUUGACACUGCUCUGUGUCUAAACCAAUGUUGGGAUGUAUUUGUAAGUGGGCUGCACCCACUGUGUAGCUGUCACCCAGUAGCCACCAUAUUGAAUCGAUUUGAGCCUCAGACUCUGUCAUGGUGAAAAGAGAGCUGAAUACCAAGCCUGGUGGAACAAAGGCUCUGUGUGCAUCCUGUCUCUGGGGUUGCAUCUGUAAAGGCCAGCCUCCUCCAUCAUCCCCUGCUGCCUGCCACAUCUCAGAGAAGCGUGAAAGGCUCAAACACCCACCCAAGGAUGAUUUUUUUCUUCUAUUUUAUAAUUAUCUAUGAAAAAAACUGUUUAGAUGAGACCUAGAAUGAACAAAUCACAAUUUCAGGACACGCUUUUGUUCAUCGUCAGAUCCCUAAAAAUGGAAAAAGAAAUUAUUCGAGUGGCAUUGCUUUUUCAUAGCUUUAUAAAAGAGGAGGAGGCGUCACUGAGUGGGUACUCGAAUAGGCUGAAUCACUUUCAAAACAUGUGUUAUAUCAUCACGUAUGAGGAUUUUGAAAAUGCAACCUUAAGUUCAAACUGUGUAUUGCAAAUAAAAUAAAGUUACAAAAAAAAA